AGGUGGUGAGUUUUUACCUUUCACAAAAUAUCUCAAUAGCCUUGGCAUCACUCACAGAUUCACUUGUUCACACACUCACCAUCAAAAUGGCUAAGUUGAAAGGAAACAUAGACAUAUUGUUGAAACUGGUCUCACUCUUUUAUCUCAUGCACAAAUGUCAUUAAAGUUUUGGGACCAUGCCUUUUUAACUGCAACUUACCUUAUCAACAGGUUACCUACACCAGUUUUAGCAAAUAAAUCACCAUUUUUCUUACUUCACCUUCAAUUUCCAGACUAUAAAUUCCUUAAAAGCUUUGGUUGUGCAUGUUUUCCCUUUUUGAGACCCUAUAACUCUCAUAAGUUUGAUUUUCAUUCAAAGGAGUGUGUUUUCUUGGGAUAUUCCAACAGUCACAAAGGAUAUAAAUGUUUAGAUGCUUCAGGUAGAAUUUUUAUAUCCAAAGAUGUUGUGUUUAAUGAGGUAAAAUUUCCUUAUCUUGACUUGUUUCCAUCUCAGAAAGUGUGUUCUGUUUUACCAGAUGGUCCCACUUUAUCCACUUUUCUUCCCACUCCUGUCUCAACAACCUUUACUGUAAACUCACAUACUCCCCAAAAUUCUCAUUCUGAGUCUGGUCCUCACAUUGUUAACUCACCUACUCCCCAAACUUCUCAUUCCGAGUCUGUUCCUACUACUCCCAUAUCAAACACCCCUCAGACUCCAUCUAUUAGUUCUCAUCACUCCGAGUCCUCACACAGAAAUAAUGUGGUCCUAAAUCCCACACCCAUCACCAUUCUAUCUCCCUCUGCAUCUCAAAAUUCCUCACCUGAGUCAUCUGCUAGUGUUACUAGCUCUCAAUCUACUAAUUCUGAGUCUCCUCCUCCUGUUCCUCACAGAAUUCAUCCUCAAAACUGUCACACAAUGAGAACCAGAGGUAAACAUGGAAUUGUGCAGCCCAGAAUUAACCCUACACUCCUUUUGACUCAUGUUGAGCCCACUACUUACAAAACUGCUCUUCAGGAUCCUAAGUGGCAUUUAGCAAUGCAAGAAGAAUAUAAUGCUUUACUUCAUAAUCAGACAUGGUCUCUAGUAUCUCUUCCUGCAAACAGACUGGCCAUUGGAUGUAAAUGGGUAUUUAGGGUAAAAGAAAAUCCAGAUGGCACUGUAAACAAGUACAAGGCACGUUUAGUGGCUAAGGGUUUUCAUCAACAAGCAGGUUUUGACUACAAUGAGACUUUUUCCCCUGUAGUCAAACCUGUUACAGUGAGGACAGUUCUGACACUUGCAGUUACUUAUAACUGGACUCUUCAGCAGUUGGAUGUGAACAAUGCAUUCCUAAAUGGAGUGCUAACUGAGGAAGUCUACAUGGUGCAGCCUCCUGGCUUUGAAUCUUCUGACAAGAACCUUGUAUGCAAACUACACAAGGCUCUCUAUGGGUUAAAACAGGCUCCCAGAGCAUGGUUUGAGAGAUUGAAAUCAUCUUUACUUAGCUUUGGGUUCAAGUCAAGCAGAUGUGAUCCUUCUUUGUUUACUUUGCACACUCAAGCUCACUGCAUUUUUAUAUUGGUUUAUGUUGAUGAUAUUAUCAUCACUGGAAACUCAAAACUGGCUAUUCAGAAUCUAGUUCAUCAGCUCAAUUCUGAGUUCUCCCUUAAAGAUUUGGGUAUACUAGAUUAUUUUCUCGGCAUAGAGGUGCAUCACUCACCAUCUGGCUCUUUACUUCUUUCUCAAACCAAAUAUAUCAAGGACCUUCUUCAGAAAGCUAACAUGAUUAAUGCUAAUAGCAUGCCUUCACCAAUGGCAUCUAGUACAAAAUUGUCUAAAUUUGGUUCAAGUACAGUCUCAGAUCCUACAUUUUUCAGGUCAAUUGUUGGUGCAUUGCAAUAUGCAACCAUAACAAGACCUGAAAUAUCCUACUCUGUGAACAAAGUUUGCCAGUUUUUAUCAAAUCCCCUUGAAGAUCACUGGAAGGCAGUCAAGAGGAUACUUAGAUAUCUGCAGGGUACUUUACACCAUGGGUUAAUGCUUACACCUGCCAGCUCUACUGAACCUAUUGCAAUCACCGGAUUUUGUGAUGCUGACUGGGCUUCAGAUCCUGAUGACAGAAGAAGCACAUCAGGAGCCUGCAUAUUUCUGGGCCCCAAUCUAGUUUCCUGGUGGGCAAGGAAACAGACCCUUGUAGCUAGAUCUAGUGCAGAGGCUGAAUAUAGAAGCCUUGCACAAGCUUCGGCUGAGAUUAUUUGGAUCCAAUCUCUUCUCAAUGAAUUGCAAAUUAAGAGUAAAAUUCCUCAUGUCUAUUGUGAUAAUCUCAGUGCAGUUUCUCUUGCUCACAACCCAGUCCUGCACUCAAGAACCAAGCACAUGGAAUUGGAUAUUUUCUUUGUGAGAGAAAAGGUUAUAAGGAAGGAACUGAAUGUCUCGCAUGUGCCUGCUCAAGACCAGUGGGCAGAUGUCUUAACUAAGCCUCUGUCCACUGCCAGAUUCCUUUAUCUUAGAGACAAACUGAGGGUUUGUGACACCCUCCGUUUGAAGGGGGUCUGUUAGAAUAAUUAAUCAAGUACUUAGUGGAGAUAUUGAAAAGUUGUGACUAUUUAGUUUCAACUCCACUAGCCAUUGUAUUGAUUGUAUUGAUUAAUCUUCCUUAUUAAUUAGGGGUUAACUAGGAGACUCUUACCUAUAUAAAUGUACACUCUCACCACAUAAUAUGAUAUAAUAAACAUAUUUUCAGUUCUAAUAUGGUAUCUAGAGCUUCUUGAUCCAGAGCCAUGUCUACGUCUUCUCCCUCUGAUGCGCAACGCGUAACUGCUGCAGCAUCCAAAACCUUCAAACAAGUAGUUUCUGUUAAGCUUGAUGAUACGAACUACCUUCAAUGGAAGCAACAAGUCGAAGGUGUUCUUCGCGGAACGAAGAUGGUGAAAUUUGUGAUUUCACCUGAUAUUCCACCGGUUUUUCUCACAGAUGCAGCGCGCGAAGCUGGAACGGAGAAUCCUGCUUACACUGAAUGGGAAGAACAAGAUUCAUUGCUCUGCACCUGGAUUCUUUCAACGAUUUCGCCUUCGCUACUUUCGCGAUUCGUUCUCCUUCGCCACUCAUGGCAGGUUUGGGAUGAGAUCCAUAGUUACUGCUUCACGCAGAUGAAGACGCGUUCGCGUCAACUUCGAUCUGAACUUAGAUCCAUUACGAAAGGUUCACGCACUGUCGCUGAAUUCAUUGCUCGAAUUCGCGCAAUUUCAGAGUCUCUUGCUUCAAUUGGAGAUCCAGUCUCUCACAGGGACCUAAUUGAAGUUGUUCUUGAAGCACUUCCUGAAGAGUUUGACCCUAUUGUUGCUAGUGUGAAUGCAAAAUCUGAGGUUGUUUCUUUAGAUGAACUUGAAUCUCAGCUUCUCACACAAGAAUCUAGAAAGGAGAAGUUCAAGAAAGCUGCUAUCAGUGAACCUGUUUCAGUUAAUCUCACUGAAACUGCAAAUUCAGAAUCCCAAUCUCAUGGUCCUAAUUCUCAAAACCACAAUUAUACUGAUGGCACCGGAAACAAUCAGUUUCCUAACUCUAACCCUAAUUUUGGAGGAAGAAAUGGCCAGUUCAGAGGACGUGGUGGCCGUUUUGGUGGUAGAUUCAGAGGACGUGGUGGCCGUUUUGGUGGAAGAUCCAAUGUUCAAUGCCAAAUAUGUUCAAAAACUGGUCAUGAUGCAAGCUAUUGUCACUACCGUUUCUUUGCCCCACAAAAUGAUUACUACAGUCCCUAUGGCUCACCAGGAGGCUAUGGUGCACCUCCAAAUGUAUGGAUGCAGAACAUGUCACGUCCUCAACAUUCUGGACAGUUUCUUAGGCCUCCCACACAGGCUGCGAAUCAGAGAGGUCAAGCUCCCCAGGCCUUCUUAACUGGCUCAGAUCCAUACAAUUCAUUCAACAAUGCCUGGUACCCUGACUCAGGUGCUACUCAUCAUGUCACCCCUGAUGCAUCCAACCUCAUGGAUUCCACGUCUCUUUCAGGUUCUGAUCAGGUCCAUAUUGGAAAUGGACAAGGUUUGGCUAUUACCUCUGUUGGUUCCUUACAAUUUACUUCUCCUUUACAUCCUCAAACUACUCUAAAACUAAAUAAUCUCCUUCUUGUUCCCUCUAUAACCAAAAAUCUUGUUAGUGUGAGUCAAUUUGCUAAAGAUAACAAUGUUUACUUUGAGUUUCAUCCUAAUCAUUGUUUUGUCAAAUCUCAGGAUUCUUCUAAGGUGCUUUUAAGAGGUAUUCUAGGACAUGAUGGUCUCUAUCAAUUUGAGCACACCAAAUCAUUCAAGACCACUGCUCCUGUCUCUCAAAAUUCUAGUGUCAACACUGUUUGCAAUAAAGUUCCAGCACAAACUGAUAAUUCUGCCUCUUUUCAUUUAGGUCCCUCAACUGGUUUCAAUUUCAAUAAUUUUCAAUGCAAUAAUGUUGAACAUUUACCUAGUAGUUCAACAUCUAGUUCUACUCAGUCUUUUCCUUCCAUGUAUGGUAUCUGGCAUAGCAGACUUGGACAUCCUCAUCAUGAGGUGCUCCAAAGUAUUAUCAAACUUUGUAAUAUAAAAUUACCAAAUAAAAGCUUGUCAGAUUUCUGUACUGCUUGUUGUCAUGGUAAGGUUCAUAGACUGCCAUCUUUUGCAUCUCAAAUGACAUAUACUAAACCUCUUGAAUUAAUUUUCUGUGAUCUUUGGGGACCUGCACCAGUUGAAUCCUCUUGUGGAUAUACCUAUUUUCUUACUUGUGUGGAUGCUUAUUCUAGAUACACAUGGAUAUAUCCUCUGAAACUCAAAUCUCACACACUUUCUACAUUUCAGAAUUUUAAAACCAUGAUUGAAUUGCAGUUAAAUCACAAAAUUACUUCUGUCCAAACUGAUGGAGGUGGUGAGUUUUUACCUUUCACAAAAUAUCUCAAUAGCCUUGGCAUCACUCACAGAUUCACUUGUCCACACACUCACCAUCAAAAUGGCUCAGUUGAAAGGAAACAUAGACAUAUUGUUGAAACUGGUCUCACUCUUUUAUCUCAUGCACAAAUGCCAUUAAAGUUUUGGGACCAUGCCUUUUUAACUGCAACUUACCUUAUCAACAGGUUACCUACACCAGUUUUAGCAAAUAAAUCACCCUUUUUCUUACUUCACCUUCAAUUUCCAGACUAUAAAUUCCUUAAAAGCUUUGGUUGUGCAUGUUUUCCCUUUUUGAGACCCUAUAACUCUCAUAAGUUUGAUUUUCAUUCAAAGGAGUGUGUUUUCUUGGGAUAUUCCAACAGUCACAAAGGAUAUAAAUGUUUAGA
rnacentral:lncRNA from 1 species